UCAUUACAUUCAGUAGCCCAGCUACUUGUUUACACCCUUGUCUUUUUGCGUACUUAUCGUUUCCUCGGCGGGCUUGCCUGCCGGUUGGACAACUUUAUAACCUUUUUAAAUCUUCAAUCAGCGUCUGAAUAAUAUACAAUAAUUACAACUUUCAACAACGGAUCUCUUGGUUCUGGCAUCGAUGAAGAACGCAGCGAAAUGCGAUAAGUAGUGUGAAUUGCAGAAUUCAGUGAAUCAUCGAAUCUUUGAACGCACAUUGCGCCCCUUGGUAUUCCAUGGGGCAUGCCUGUUCGAGCGUCAUUUGUACCUUCAAGCUUUGCUUGGUGUUGGGUGCUUGUCUUUUUGUUAAGACUCACCUCAAAGUCAUUGGCAGCCAGUGUUUUGGUAGUAAGCGCAGCACAUUUUGCGUCUUGGUUCCUUAACAGCAGCAUCCAUCAAGCCAUUUUCUCACUUUUGACCUCGGAUCAGGUAGGGAUACCCGCU
rnacentral:rRNA from 1 species